UACGUAGGGAGCAAGCGUUGUCCGGAAUCAUUGGGCGUAAAGCGCGCGUAGGUGGCCAUGUAAGUCCGCUGUGAAAGUCAAAGGCUCAACCUUUGAAAGCCGGUGGAUACUGCAUGGCUAGAGUACGGAAGAGGCGAGUGGAAUUCCUGGUGUAGCGGUGGAAUGCGCAGAUAUCAGGAGGAACACCAAUAGCGAAGGCAGCUCGCUGGGACGUUACUGACACUAAGGCGCGAAAGCGUGGGGAGCGAACAGG
rnacentral:rRNA from 1 species